rnacentral:rRNA from 1 species
CAGUCGCCGCGGUAAUACGAAGGGGGCUAGCGUUGUUCGGAUUUACUGGGCGUAAAGCGCACGUAGGCGGAUCCUUAAGUCAGAGGUGAAAUCCCAAGGCUCAACCUUGGAACUGCCUUUGAUACUGGGGAUCUCGAGUUCGGGAGAGGUGAGUGGAACUGCGAGUGUAGAGGUGAAAUUCGUAGAUAUUCGCAAGAACACCAGUGGCGAAGGCGGCUUACUGGCUCAUUCUAGACGCUGAGGUGCGAAAGCGUGGGGAGCAAACAGGAUUAGAUACCCCGGUAGUCCCUGUCUCUUAUAC